AAUGGCCUAACGGCUGAACCAGCAACUUGGAAGAAUGUAUAGCGAAAGCUAGUAACUAACAUUAAUUUACUUAAAUAAAGUUCUAAAUAAAAUUAUGAUAAUGACAUAUUCUUUAUUAGUCUUGGCCAAUUUGCGUGCCAGCAGCCGCGGUAAUACGUAUAAGACAAGUGUUAUUCAUCUUUAACAGGUUUAAAGGGUACCUAGACAGUAAAAUAAGCCGACUAAUUUAUAGAGUUACUUAUGAGGGGGCUAAUAGGUACUAGUGUGGAGAGAUGAAAUUCUUUGAUACCACAUGGCACAGAUUAAGGCGUAAGCUUCUCUUUAUGUGAUAACUGCGUUGAAGGACGAAGG
rnacentral:rRNA from 1 species